rnacentral:rRNA from 1 species
UACCAGCACCCCGAGUGGUCGGGACGAUUAUUGGGCCUAAAGCAUCCGUAGCCGGUCCUACAAGUCUUCCGUUAAAUCCACCUGCUUAACAGAUGGGCUGCGGAAGAUACUAUAGGGCUAGGAGGCGGGAGGGGCAAGCGGUACUCAGUGGGUAGGGGUAAAAUCCUCUGAUCCAUUGAAGACCACCAGUGGCGAAGGCGGCUUGCCAGAACGCGCUCGACGGUGAGGGAUGAAAGCUGGGGGAGCAAACCGG